rnacentral:rRNA from 1 species
UACGAAGGGAGCUAGCGUUGUUCGGAAUCACUGGGCGUAAAGGGCGCGUAGGCGGUGAUGCAAGUCAGAGGUGAAAUCCCGGAGCUUAACUCCGGAACUGCCUUUGAAACUGCAUUGCUUGAAGGUGAGAGAGGGUAGUGGAAUUCUGAAUGUAGCGGUGAAAUGCGUAGAUAUUCAGAGGAACACCGAUGGCGAAGGCAGCUACCUGGCUCACUAUUGACGCUGAGGCGCGAAAGCGUGGGGAUCAAACAGG